rnacentral:rRNA from 1 species
UUCUUGGNUCAAUUUGAGGAAGUAAAAGUCGUAACAAGGUUUCCGUAGGUGAACCUGCGGAAGGAUCAUUAUCGUACAAAAUGUGAGAGGGGCAUGCGAGGGCUGUCGCUGACUCAAAGUCGUGCACGCCCGAGUGUGUCGCCUCACAUAAUAAUCCAUCUCACCCUUUGUGCAUCACCGCGUGGGCACCCCUUUGGGAUCAUCUCGGAGGGGGCUCGCGUUUUCACACAAAACCCCCCUUUUAAAAGUGUAGAAUGACCUCAUUUAUGCGCUAACCCGCAAUCAAUACAACUUUCAACAACGGAUCUCUUGGCUCUCGCAUCGAUGAAGAACGCAGCGAAAUGCGAUACGUAAUGUGAAUUGCAGAAUUCAGUGAAUCAUCGAAUCUUUGAACGCACCUUGCGCCCCCUGGUAUUCCGAGGGGCACACCCGUUUGAGUGUCGUGAAAACCUCAACCUCCUUGGUUUCUUCUGGAGACCAAAGCAGGCUUGGACUUUGGAGGCCUUUGCUGGCACCUCUCGCCAGCUCCUCUUAAAUGAAUUAGCAGGGUCCUCUUUGCUGAUCCUCGACGUGUGAUAAGAUGUUUCCAUGUCUUGGUUUCUGGCUCUGUCACCUUUGGGACCCGCUUCUAACCGUCUUCAACCUUGCGUUGAGACAACGUUCGAGCAUGUCUCCCUUCUCGGGAAGCUCCCUCGACCCCACGAACCCUUGACCUCAAAUCGGGUGAGACUACCCGCUGAACUUAAGCAUA